UACAGAGGGGGCAAGCGUUAUUCGGAAUUAUUGGGCGUAAAGGGCGCGUAGGCGGCCUGGCAAGUGGAAGGUGAAAUCCCUCGGCUAACCGAGGAACUGCCCUCCAAACUGCUUGGCUUGAAUCCGGGAGAGGUGAGUGGAAUUCCCAGUGUAGCGGUGAAAUGCGUAGAUAUUGGGAGGAACACCAGUGGCGAAGGCGGCUCACUGGACCGGAACUGACGCUGAGGCGCGAAAGCGUGGGGAGCAAACGGG
rnacentral:rRNA from 1 species